CUUGGGCCCAGGGGGACACGUGACCCCGCUGCCGGCAAGAGCAGACCCCGGCGCUGGGCCCAGGCAGUAGGCGGGAAGCUGCGCACCACCUCUACAGAAAUUGUUCCAGCACCUGUAGAACAAGGUGGGACUGGCCCCAUGGAUCCUGGCUUCUCCUCCCACCUCUGGGACUUUAGACAAGUCACUUCUGCUCUCUGCUGCAGUUUCCCUAUGUGGAGGAGGAGGAGGAGGAGGAGGAGGAGAAGGUUAUGUCCAUCUUAUCUAUGACUAUGACAAGGCUACAUCCUGAGGCUGUCCAGAGAUUUCCAGCAGCAGCCAGCAUAAGAAUUCAGACCCUCCUGCUCCAAAAGGAGACCCACUUAGCAGUACAGGGCCUAUGACACAACUGAGAUGUUCUAGGUGUACACUGUAGAGGGCAGUAGUGCAGUUAUUAGACAGUUUGCUAUAACACCUUCCUACCCACCCAUAUCCCAGGGGUGUUAUGGGACAAUACAUUAAUAAUUGUAAACACUUAUUGUAAUAAGACUUUGCACUUCAGUGAUACUUUCCCUCGUAGCAGCCAAGUAAAUUAUAAAUUCAUAUGCCUCACUUUAUUACUGCCCUCUGAUUGUACCAUGCAGCAACACUGCAUCAAAUUCACCCUUAGCGCAACUCCACUGAAGCCAUGAGAAUUCAGUGGAAUUACACCAAUGGUGAGCUCGGCCACUUUCUGUAACUAACAGCAACUUCAGUCAAUGAGUUGUGCGUGGCCUUUGUUUCAUUUCUACCAGUUUCCAAAUGCAAUGAAUAAAAUCAGCCACAGGCUACAGCUG